GCCUUCCUGGUGUAAUGGUCAGCACACUGAGCCGGUAUUUCAGAGGUCCGCGGUUCGAUUCCCGGCGAAGGCG
rfam:Stegodyphus mimosarum contig35484, whole genome shotgun sequence.